UACAGAGGGUGCAAGCGUUGCUCGGAAUCAUUGGGCGUAAAGGGUAGGUAGGUGGUCUCGUUUGUCUGGGGUGAAAGCCCAGGGCUUAACCCUGGAAGUGCCCCGGAAACGGCGAGACUGGAGUCUUGGAGAGGGUCGUGGAAUUCCCGGUGUAGCGGUGAAAUGCGCAGAUAUCAGGAGGAACACCAGCGGCGAAGGCGGUGCUCUGGGCCGGAACUGACGCUGAGGAGCGAAAGCGUGGGGAGCGAACAGG
rnacentral:rRNA from 1 species